UACGUAGGGGGCGAGCGUUGUCCGGAGUUACUGGGCGUAAAGGGCAUGCAGGCGGUCGGACGCGUUUCGGGUGACAGCGGGUGGCUUAACUACCCGAGUGGUCGAAAGACGGUUUGACUUGAGGACGCGAGAGGGACACGGAAUUCCGGGUGGAGUGGUGAAAUGUGUAGAGAUCCGGAGGAACACCGAAGGCGAAGGCAGUGUCCUGGCGCGUAACUGACGCUGAGGUGCGAAAGCCAGGGGAGCGAACGGG
rnacentral:rRNA from 1 species